UACAGAGGGUGCAAGCGUUGUUCGGAAUCAUUGGGCGUAAAGGGCGUGUAGGCGGUCUGUUAAGUCAUGUGUGAAAUCCCUCGGCUCAACCGGGGAAGGACGCAUGAAACUGACAGCUAGAGUACCAAAGAGGGGGGUGGAAUUCCCGGUGUAGCGGUGGAAAUGCGUAGAUAUCGGGAGGAACACCGGUGGCGAAGGCGGCCCCCGUGGUUCGGAUACUGACGCUGAGACG
rnacentral:rRNA from 1 species